AUCAACUACAUUCUCUCCAAGGUAAAACUAACACACGUCUUGAUGAGAUCGGGAUAGCCAGGGAACCUAAAACUAUACCCUUUAUCACCCAAAAAGAGAAUGUUUGCUUAGUCUGUACAAUAGUCAUAGCAUCCUAGGAAUAAUGUUAGCAUAUUUACGUACUCGCGCAGACAGCAUGGCUGGUUUUCAUCACCCUGGAGACCCCUACUUCCCUAAUCAGGGAAACAACGGGUGGCUAGAGGAGGAGGAGCCUGAGGAAGAGUCUGAAGAGGAACCUGAGGAGGAGCAGCAGGGUAUCCAGUUUCAUCAGGUACUAGUAGCUCACGGGAUGCUUGUGGAUGAGCCGGGAGAGAAUCCAGGGGAAGCACACGACGUCGGACCCGACGAAUACAUAGACACUGACUACGAAUUUGGAGAGCUCGACGAUGAUGACAAAGACGGCCAGGUCGGGGACCAGGACCCCGUCCUGCCAUGCGAGAACGAGGCACAACCAGAUCACCCCGCUCCACCAGUGAACCCCCCAAGAGAGAACCGUUCCCUCGAAGCUGAGAUCGCCGCACUGCGACAACAGCUGUAUGCUAUGGAAGCUCGGGCAGUGCGAGCAGAGCAUGAGAGGGAUGAGGUUAUUGGAGACAUGGCAGAGAUGGUGCAGCUACUGGCGCAACAUUUCGGCAUAUGACCUCGGCACCACCUCCUGACGCAGCUCAUCGCGGUUAGGGAUAGACUUAUCAUAGUAGGUCAUUAGGAACUAUGUUAUGUACUCCGGCUCUAUGUUUAAGUGACUACACUACUCAUGGAGCCGUUAUGCUGUCGGAUUAGUGUCACAUAUGUAUGCUCCUACGAGCAAAUUUCCUUGUAUUAAAUGCGGAUAAUAUUAAUGAACUUUUGUGUGUUUUGCUAUGAUAUUACCAGUUGUUAUGUGUUGAGACGUUAUGAUUGUAUGUCCGAUGGUAGCAAUGUCUAAGUUCGUACCAUACACCUAGUUAGUAGGAUCACAACCUCACAGAAACCACAUACACUCAACAUCUUUCCGUUUCAUGACAGAAAGAUGCCUCGCCGAGCUACUCGCGGAAAUCCCGAACCAACCCCGCCCGAAGUUGACACCACUGCUUUCCAGGCAGCCGUGUCUGCUGCGGUCACAGCAGCUAUGGCACAACUUCACCGAGGGAACAACGGAGGAGGUAACGGGCAAGGAUCCGGAAGUUCGAACAACGGGACGAACCAAGGACCCACUAAAACGUGCACCUACAAGGAUUUUGCGAACGCCAAACCCCGAACUUUCAACGGCACUGGAGGAGUGAUCACCCUAAAGCGAUGGAUCGAGAAGGUAGAGUCGGUAUUCGAGAUAUGCGAGUGCCCCGAGCAGAUGAAGGUGAAGUUCGCGGCCUGCACUUUUGUGGACCAAGCACUCACUUGGUGGAAUGGACACGUGGAAGCUAUGACGCUCCCUGUCGCCAACUCUAUCCCAUGGGCAGAAAUGAAAGAAAUGUUAAUGGCUGAGUACUGCCCCCGAGGCGAAAUACAAAAGAUGGAGCAAGAGCUAUGGAACCUCACUGUGCAGAAUGCGAACAUCGAUGCCUACAUAUCGAGAUUUAGCGAACUAUCUCUGUUGUGCCCGGGUAUGAUCACAUCAGAAGGAAAGAAGAUCGAACGAUUCAUCUGGGGACUGACACCCCCCAUUCAAGGGAAUGUGAUAGCUGCGAACCCUGAAACGUUUGACAGUGCGAAGAGAUUGGCAAAGAGGCUAUAUGAUCAUAACAACAAGAAGGGCGAGAAACCAGUGGAGACUGAGAAGAAGAAGGAGGGUGAUGGUAAGAAAGGAUGGAACAACAAGAGAAAGGGGCGUCAGGGCCCCGAGACCUCUAAAAAGCAGCAAACAGUGGCAGUUAACGCUGUCACUGCGCCGGUUCCAGUCACCUCACAUGCUCCAGCCUCAGCUGCUUCAAAUGCUUCAAGACCCUAUUCCGGUAAUUUUCCCAAGUGCAAUAAGUGCGGUUUCCAUCACCAUGGAGAAUGUAAGGAGUUCCAUUGCACCAGUUGCAACCGAAGGGGACACACUGCAAGGUUCUGCAGGACUUAUCCUUCUCAGAACCAGAGUCAGGGAAACAACCAGAACAACAACAACAACCACCGCAAUAUCAACAACACCAAUGCCGGCGGCAACAACGCAGGGCCUAGCCACACCUGUUUCGGGUGUGGAAGGACGGGGCAUUUCCGUCGAGAUUGCCCUAACAACAACAACUCAGGAAACAGAGGAGCAGGAAGAAUGCUGACUAUGGGUCAGAGUGAUGCAGUUCAGGACCCCGCAGUUGUGACCGGUACGUUCCUCCUAAACCACACUUAUGCAUGCAUCUUAUUUGAUACCGGAGCGGAGCGAAGUUUCGUAAGCGAGAAGUUUAAACAUUUAUUAAAACAACAACCCCAGAAGCUAAAUGAAACCUAUACGGUGGAAAUGGCCAAUGGGAAAACCGAAUCCACUAGGGAGAUCUACAUCGGAUGUACCCUAACCCUCAACCAACACGUCUUACGAAUAGAUCUGAUGCCAGUAUCAAUUAGGAGUUUCGAUGUGAUUAUCGGCAUGGAUUGGUUAAGCCCCCACCAUGCUGAGAUUAUGUGCCACGAGAAGGCCGUUCGCCUUCGUCUCCCAAAUCACGAAACCCUAGUAAUUUACGGAGACAAACCCAGUACGAAUCUUCGUCUCAUCUCGUGCAUCAAAGCACAAAAACACUUGCGAAAGAACAAUUUGGCGUUCUUGGCUCACAUAGUGGACAAGACCAAAGAAGAAACUAACAUCCAAGACAUUCCAGUAGCGUGUGAAUUUCCGGACGUGUUUCCCGAAGAUCUUCCAGGAGUACCCCCAGAGAGACAGGUUGAGUUCCGAAUCGACCUCGUUCCAGGAGCAACUCCUCUCGCUAAAUCACCAUAUCGGUUGGCACCUGCUGAAAUGCAGGAAUUGUCCAGCCAACUCAGUGAGCUUCUGGACAAGGGAUUUAUCCGACCUAGCUACUCGCCAUGGGGAGCUCCGGUGCUCUUUGUCAAAAAGAAGGACGGAUCUUUCAGAAUGUGCAUCGAUUACAGAGAGUUGAACAAACUCACUGUUAAAAACCGCUACCCACUCCCGCGAAUCGAUGAUCUAUUCGACCAGCUCCAAGGAGCUAGCUAUUUUUCUAAAAUAGAUCUACGGUCCGGAUACCAUCAACUCAAGGUCCGAGAAGAAGAUAUUCCUAAAACCGCUUUCCGAACCCGCUAUGGACAUUAUGAAUUCGUCGUAAUGCCCUUCGGUCUAACAAAUGCACUCGCCGCAUUUAUGGACCUAAUGAAUCGAAUCUGUCGACCGUUCCUGGACAACUUCGUCAUUGUGUUUAAAGAUGACAUCCUCGUCUAUUCUCAAAACAAAGAGGAGCGUGGCCAACAUCUCCGACAGAUCCUAGAAACUCUGCGAACGGAAAAGCUGUACGCCAAACUCUCCAAGUGCGAGUUCUGGCUCCGGAGUGUGAAUUUCCUAGGCCACGUAGUUAGCCAAGACGGAAUUCAUGUGGAUCCCUCUAAGGUCAAAGCUGUGGAAGGAUGGGCAACUCCGACUACGCCCACAGAAAUUCGUCAGUUCUUAGGCCUAGCAGGCUACUAUAGGAGAUUCAUCCAAAACUUCUCAAAAAUCGCCAAGCCACUUAC
rnacentral:lncRNA from 1 species